CUUGAUGCAGGUGGUCUUAUUGUCGUUUUACUGAGAGAAUCAUCCCGGACACGUAUAAGUUUUGGGGCUUGCAAGAUUUUAGAAGGGGUGAGGGGUCUAACCUGGAGCCUUCCUCAUGCAUGACUUCAUGCAGUUGAAAUGAUGAAGCUCAGAGCCACACUGAAGGCCACACCCUAAUGGAGCCACUAUCACUCUGGAUGCCUGACUGACAGAAGACUCCCUCUGGACUCAGGUAUCCCUAAGAGAAGCUGAGAGGAAAAGAACAGAAAGUUUAAAAGUGAACAGCAAAUACUAGAAAAAUA